UUUGUUAGUAAUUAAAAAGUAAUGAAAAUCAUUUUAAAGAGUGCUUCAUGUCUUAGACGGUAACAACUGCCAAGUGUUCUGAUAAGGAGCACAAGAGGUGGAUAAUGUUUGACAGGACUUUUGUAAUGACGGAUCAAAGGUCCAAGUGUGUUUUCCUGUCAGAUCCACCUUCAUACUUCAGACAGAUUUCUGUCGUUGGGGUAUGUAAAUCUGAUCCAGGCAUUCUACUUUGUGGGAGCAUCCUGUCUUCAGCAUCAUGGUGGAAUUGGCUUUCUACCCGGGGGUGGCACUGAUGUAUUUUUUUGGAGUGAUGAAAGCCACACAGGACGAUCGUGUGGAGCUGGAUGACCGUGCGUCAAUGAAUGUGUUCUGUCUGUUCGUGUUGGCACAGCCGCUGUGUCUGGUACUGGGAGGAUACACUGGCAUGGCUACAUACCUCCUCACAGCUCUAGUCUCCUACAACUUCCUGCCUUGGAGGAAGACAAAACAGCCUGCGAAAGGAAAAGAAUCAAAAAAGAAGACAAAGUGAGAACAAGAAACGGUCACUGUGUGAAGAUGGCAAGACAGUAGAUUCAAACUGGUUGCAAAAGAAAAAAAUAUUUAAAGACCAGUUAAAGAAUAGGCAUUCAAUGUGAAAAUCUUCUCAUAUGAAUAAAUGAAGGUGUUGCUCAACCAUGCAGUAAUUAUUUAGCCUGUUUCCACAAGGCUGCCACGGCUAGAUUCAAAAACACAUUUCUUUUGAAAAGGGAAUAAUUUGUAGCCAACCUGGUGGCUCCUUCCAUUUCAGCUAACAAACAAUUUGUGUGUGCAUCAGAAAUACAUUUGAGAAACUUCAUUUUUUGGAUGUGGAUUUUCUUUUUUACAUUUAUGUACAACGAUAAAUAUUUUUGUGUGCAUUGAAAAUAUUUUGUGGGGAGUCAAUAUAUACUGUAAAUUACAAAAUAAUUUGUGACUCCAUCUCAAUGGACACGAAUAUGACUGACCAUUAAAUGAAUGAAAUCAAACACAUUGUACACAUUCAUGAGCAUUUCCUGCAAAUUCACCCACAAAGAUACAAUUAUUACUCACACUUAGGGGAA